rnacentral:rRNA from 1 species
UACGAAGGGGGCUAGCGUUGCUCGGAUUGACUGGGCGUAAAGGGCGCGUAGGCGGUCUGUACAGUCAGGCGUGAAAUUCCUGGGCUCAACCUGGGGGCUGCGUUUGAUACGUGCAGACUAGAGUGCGGAAGAGGGUCGUGGAAUUUCCAGUGUAGAGGUGAAAUUCGUAGAUAUUGGGAAGAACACCGGUGGCGAAGGCGGCGACCUGGUCCGAUACUGACGCUGAGGCGCGAAAGCGUGGGGAGCAAACAGG